AGCAAGAUAGUGAACAGACGCUAGGGUAACGAAGGCUGCCCCUUCUCUUUUUGCUCUGCUCUUAAUUUUUUUUGUAUUUUUUUGUAGUUUUUUUAAUAACUUUACUUAUAAUUGCCUUAUACCAAAUAAUUUUUUAUUACUUUUAUCUCUUUGAUGAUCAUUAUUCAUCUAUUGUUAUUUGAAGAGGCACAUCUAUGUAGUCUUUGUUCAUAUUCGUUUCGUAUUACAUUUUUCCAUAGUUUUGUGUUUAAUGUUCUUUCUUUUUCUUUUUCAAGUUCGUAUACGAAG
rnacentral:lncRNA from 1 species